rnacentral:rRNA from 1 species
CCUACGGGAGGCAGCAGUGGGGAAUAUUGCACAAUGGGCGCAAGCCUGAUGCAGCCAUGCCGCGUGUGUGAAGAAGGCCUUCGGGUUGUAAAGCACUUUCAGCGGGGAGGAAGGCGGUGAGGUUAAUAACCUCAUCGAUUGACGUUACCCGCAGAAGAAGCACCGGCUAACUCCGUGCCAGCAGCCGCGGUAAUACGGAGGGUGCAAGCGUUAAUCGGAAUUACUGGGCGUAAAGCGCACGCAGGCGGUCUGUCAAGUCGGAUGUGAAAUCCCCGGGCUCAACCUGGGAACUGCAUUCGAAACUGGCAGGCUAGAGUCUUGUAGAGGGGGGUAGAAUUCCAGGUGUAGCGGUGAAAUGCGUAGAGAUCUGGAGGAAUACCGGUGGCGAAGGCGGCCCCCUGGACAAAGACUGACGCUCAGGUGCAAAAGCGUGGGGAGCAAACAGGAUUAGAUACCCUAGUAGUC